CAACGCAGGGUUCCCUAAUGGUUGCAUCGACCAUGCAGAUGGUUCUUGGAUCCACUGGCGGUUGGCGCCAUGUAGUCAUGUUGGUUCAGAUGUGCAUUCAAAUACUUAUUUUAGAUGUUGUAAAUACUGAGAAUUAUUUAGCUAAAAACAUCUUUGUAUAAUCUGUUAUAUUUUUUUAGGUUUUUGAGUCAUCUCUCUACUAUUCUCUUAGUUUCUCUAUCAGGUUUUGGCCUAUAUCGGUUCGGUUUUUCCAUGCUCGUAUGAUGUGUCGAGAUUGGACUACCUGAGCUUGUAGUAUUACUGAUAUUCACGCAGUAUCUUCCUCAUAAGGAGAGGAGACCGACAUAUUUUUAUCUUGGAUCGCUUUACGGUCAUAUUCUCAAUUCUAGUCGUGUGGACUUAUGUCCACAUUCUCACUCGUGCUAGAGCUUACAAGCGUUCACGUACA